rnacentral:tRNA from 2 species
GGGUCCUUAGCUCAGCGGUUAGAGCAGGAGACUCAUAAUCUCUUGGUCGCGGGUUCGAAUCCUGCAGGACCCA